CAGUGUCGGAAUUAUAUUUAAUUUUUUGACUUGAAAAUACCAAUUUUGGAAAGAGUUACUGUUUAUUAUCGAAUCGGUUAAAAUCUUGCAGUACAAUAAAAAUACCAUUUUUAAUUUAUUGAUGGAGAAUUAUUUU
ensembl:ncRNA Y102A11A.10 ncRNA